AACGAACGCUGGCGGCAUGCCUAACACAUGCAAGUCGGACGCCCCGCAAGGGGAGUGGCGCACGGGUGAGUAACGCGUGGGAACCUGCCCUGGAGUGGGGGAUAACCCGGCGAAAGCCGGGCUAAUACCGCAUGCGCCCCGGAGCAAUCUGGGGGAAAGAUUUAUCGCUCUAGGAUGGGCCCGCGUCGGAUUAGCUAGUUGGUGGGGUAACGGCCCACCAAGGCGAUGAUCCGUAGCUGGUCUGAGAGGAUGAUCAGCCACACUGGGACUGAGACACGGCCCAGACUCCUACGGGAGGCAGCAGUGGGGAAUAUUGGACAAUGGACGAAAGUCUGAUCCAGCGACGCCGCGUGGAGGAUGAAGGUUUUCGGAUCGUAAACUCCUUUUACAGGGGACGAAAGCGGGCAACCGUUUGACGGUACUCUGUGAAUAAGCCACGGCUAACUACGUGCCAGCCGCCGCCGUAAUAC
rnacentral:rRNA from 1 species